UUAAAGAGCUGCCGACAAAAUGUGUUGUUUAGUUUAAGAUUUGGUCAUCUGUGUUGUGUAUAUUGUUUUUAUGUCGAUAUAUUUGUCAUUUCAAGUGGUUUUAUGUUAUUUUGAUAGUUGGUUUUAGUUAAAAGGGCUUCUUUUCAUUUACAUUUCUGGCGGGAUUUGCGUUACAUUAGGCUCGUCGUGGUUUUUGUUACAAUGUGUAAUUUAUGUCAGAGGUGGAGGAAAAAGAACUUCAUUUUCAUUCUUUUGUCCAUCAGGUAUGUGUUUUUCAUUUUUGUAAUCAUAAUACCUUUUCACGUGUCAUUAAUCACUCCUUCCCUUUCUCUCUCCCACUUCGUUACUUAUGUUGGCCACUAGUCGGCAGUGUUGUGAAACAUUGUAAAUAUAAAAUCUGUGUUUUGUUUACCAUUAAAACAAGUACUUCCUCUCUUUGCCACACAACGUGGUUGGCAUUGACAAGGGGUGCAGAAGUGGAGGAAAAAGAACUAUUUUCAUUCUUUUGUCCAUCAGAAACCUAACAAAGGCCGUUACAUAUGGUCAUGUAUUUUUUCAUGGUACUUUUCUUAAAAGUAAUGUUAAUGUCUCGUCUUGUUCUCGUAGACCCAGUCUCUUGUGGUGGUACCUAGCCAAUACUUUGUACAAAUACAUCUAAUGUGUCUGGUACAUUUUUAAAAGGGAAUGCACUGUAUUUAAUUCAUGGAAAAAAACAAAGAAUCAAGACAUUGUACUGAAGUAUAAUGAGGUAACUGGGUUAUUUUGUAAUAUUGCCAAGAUAAAAUACAACAACAGAAAAACAAAAGGAUAAAGUUCUUCUUCUUCUUUCUCUUUGGGCUUUUCCCUUCAGGGGUCGCCACAGUAACUCAGUCUCCUCCAUCCAACCCCAUCUUCUGCAUCUGUCUUUCUCAUGUCCUCCUUCACUACAUCCAUAAACCUCCUCUGUGGUCUUCCUCUACGCCUCCUACCUGGCAGCAUUCAAUAUAUACCAAUAUAUUCACUAUCCCUCCUCUGGACAUGUCCCAACCAUGUCAGUCUGGUCGAUAACUGACUUUAUCUCCAAGGUCUGUAACAUGUAAUGUCCCUCUGAUGUACUCCUUCCUGAUCCUAUCCAUCCUGGUCACUCCCAAUGUGAACUUUUUGACCAUCUUGCUUGCAGAGUGGCUGUUAGGUUGGUUGCAUCUCAAUGUGGCCGUAAGGAAUUUCCCAAAAUCCUGUGCAACUCUGGGGACAUGAGGAAAGGCUUUUCUGAGCUCCCGUCGUUCCUCUCCAGGUCGUCACCUGAUUGGAUGAGAGGGAAUCUCAGAUUCAGUGGAAUCUGUUCAGAGUUGAAUUGACAUUGACAAUCGACAUUGCAUGAAUCCACAAACGUCUCGUCGAGGGCUGUCCAAACAUUUUUGCUGCAGUUUUUUUUUUAUUUUAGAAGUACUUCAACCUUCUUCUUGAACAAUUUUUGUCACAAAGGCAGCACCCUCAAUAGAGAAGUCCAGACUUCCUGGUCUCCGGCCACCUCUUCCAGUUCAUGAUGGUAAAGAAGCAGAGGAAAAGAGUGUCGACACAGGUGGUGUAGACACUGAAGAAACCAUGAGCAAUCAGAAGGGGCAUUUUCCGUGUGAAGAAAAGAAAUGCUACCACACCUGAAAGACACACACAAGGACACGCUGGGUGUGAUCUGCGCCAAAAGGAAACUGUCAGAAUGGACUGUUGCAUGUCCACUUACCAAUUCCUCCUGCUAUCAUGACUUUGCCCAGAAAUAAGAGAAAGUCGGUGAUUCUGUCCAGAACAGCGACCCUAUGGAGAAGAAAUGGAAGGAAUAUCUUACAUCCUUACACAAUGACUCAACUAUAAACACAAAGUUUCUCUUACAAAAUAACUCAAUCUAUUAUGAAUAAUCUUUCAUUAUUUAUGGCGAGAUUAUAACUAAAACAUGUGAAUUGUAAACUUGUUAAGAGACAAUUUAAUGAUAUUUCUCCGUAAAUAUCUGGACUAUGACCUUAAAACAGUGGUCUCAAACACACGGCCCGCAGGCCAAAUGUGGCCCGCAGGACACUCGUUUGCGGCCCGUGCAAGUUUGAUAUGGAUGCUGUAUGGUAUCAUGUACCCAGAAAAAAUUAUUACGUUUGAUUAAUGUUCAUGUUAAAGGUUAAAUAACUGUUAAUAGUUAUCCUCCCUAUCCGUGUGGAAGUGGUAAGUUUUUGGCUAUUUAAGUUGAAAGGAAAUAACUUGAAGGCUACCGUUUAGGUCGCUAGCUCUCUAGUUUGCGAGUUAGCAUGUGUCUCAAGACCCUGCAGUUGCGCAAUAUGUUGUA